CAUACUUUUAGAAAGACUCAUCGAAAAACCGCGGUCAGGUUCAGGUUAUGCUGAACACCACACAUGUCGAAGGCUCUUCAGCAAGUUUCAUCAACUGCAAAGGAUUCAGUAACGUCAGAGAACUACAGCGAUGCUUUUCAAAGUGCAGUACCGUGGAAAGAAGAAAUAUAUCAAGCUAAAUGGAGUCUCACAUCCAGCCUUUCUUCAGGAGGCUAAAGAGAAGUUCGGCAUACGCACUGAGACAGACAUAUGUGGUGGAUGACACUGGAACAGAAGUUGACGAAGAGGUCUUCAGCGAUAUCUUGGAGGAAAAAUCAGACAUCCUGUGGACUAUUUUUGAUGUUCACUCUGUAAUGGAUACUUCCGUCCUGUCCUCGUGCACAGACACCUUGUCACUAUCAUCACGCUCAUCAGACAGUGAUGCUUCUCUGAUGUCGCCAAAAAGACAACGCAUUGAUGACACCUUUCUUAUGUCCCCAAAAAGUCAGCAUAUUGAUGAUAGUUCAUCACAAGCCAGAGAGUUUGUCAAAAGAGUUCUGGAACAAAAGCCUGGAGGUGAGAAGAUACUUAAAGAAUAUGCAGUGAGAGGAGAGAUGAAAGACCGAACACGUCGUGACCUCAUCAACAUUGUUGUUGCUCAUCUGGUGGAAAAGUAUGGGCGUGCUCCACCUAUGGACAAAAGAACACAGUGCGCACUGGGGAUAGUAACAUUGUUCCCCUCUCUAAAAGAUCCCUACUCCAAAAAAGGCUAUGAACACUUUUUUGAUGCAAACAGCAAUGAGGGCUACAUUGCCUGGAAGCUUAAAAACACACAACGAGAACUCAGAAGUGGCAGUAACUGUGAAGGUAGGAGAAGGAGCUCUCACACCUCAAACAGAAGUGGGCCGGAGUUGGAGAGAGAGGUGAAUAAAGAGCAGCAGUUGGAGGGAGACCAGUGUUGUGAGGCCAUAUCGCUACUGAAGCACAGCACAGAUGAAGAACAUAUCUUCAUGAAAAUGAGAGAAACCUUCCAUCACAGACAAAAAUUGAUCCACGAUCCUGAGCAAAGCAGCACAGUGCUUACAGUGUUCCCAAGGUUCCUUGACACAAAAGGCUUGGUGUUGCAAGACUUUGACCUGUUAUUUGGAGCUGAGACUGCAUCAAAACUCCUCGAGAAAUGGGGAACACUCAAGUCCAAAGUCAUACAGCAAGCCAAAAACCUCAGCAAGACACCCCUGCUUGACUACUUCAUCCAGUCUGCUGAGGAGAACCCUGAUGAGGAUGGCGAGGUCCCAGGUUGGGAUAGUGACAUGGCUUCACUGCUACUGCUGGUCUUCCUCUUGCCACCACCACCAAGUGGAAAGAAGGGAGCUGUGAAGAUCAGUAUCCGGGAAGCUGUGGACCAUGUAGUCAGGUUUCAAAAGAAAAAAAUGGAUUGCAUUAUGAAAUGCUGAACAAGUCUGGCAUGGGAAAAAGGCCAUCAAAGUCAUGUCGCAGCCUUCAGGAGCACUCUGGUACAGAGCAGCGGAGGCAGCCCUACAUCCUAGCAGUUGGGACGACAAGAAGAAGCAUCCAUGAGUACUACAUCACAUUGGAUGGUGAGCUCCUUCCCUGCAAGGCCAAGUCUUCCCUGUCAGCCUUUGAUGAACUUUUCAAAACACAUUAUGUGUUUGGCAUCUCUUAUAGUCAGGCUUUAAGCAGCAUGUACACAUUUGUGCAGACCAGCAUAUACAACAUUGAUGUAGGUCUUUCUCACGAACCUCCUAGAGUCAAGGACCUUAGAGCUAAGCUCCUCAACUGAAGAAUUCUGAUGUAUAAAUGCUUUGUUUGCAAAUCCAUUUUUGUCACCAUUCAAAAGUUGCCCAUUAGUUUCAUUACUCUGAUGGUUCUUUUGUAUGGUAAUCCACAUUAUAUUUUUGUUGUAAUAGGAUUUUUGGACUGUUGACUUUUGAAAUAUUUUUGCUUUCAUGUCCAAUAUGGGGUCAGUUUAUUUUGAAUUCAGAAAAGAAGGAUUAUCUUCAGAGCUGAAAAAAAAAAUGAAACGAAGGCACUUUAUAUCUUAUGAUGAUUCGAAUUCUUUAUGGCUGACCUGCUAAUUGCUUUAAAUGUCUGUUAUCUGCCUUGUUAACCGACUGAUAAGCAGCAAGCAGGGAUGGGUUGGUUCAUUACAUAUCAGCAUUUAAAUAACAAACAGGUUAUAUUAUUACUGUUAAAAUCACA
ensembl:lncRNA